UCUUGACAUCCAGAGAAUUUAGCAGAGAUGCUUUAGUGCCUUCGGGAACUCUGAGACAGGUGCUGCACGGCUGUCGUCAGCUCGUGUUGUGAAAUGUUGGGUUAAGUCCGCAACGAGCGCAACCCUUAUCCUUUGUUGCCAGCACGUAAUGGUGGGAACUCAAAGGAGACUGCCGGUGAUAAACCGGAGGAAGGUGGGGAUGACGUCAAGUCAUCAUGGCCCUUACGAGUAGGGCUACACACGUGCUACAAUGGCGUAUACAAAGAGAAGCGACCUCGCGAGAGCAAGCGGACCUCAUAAAGUGCGUCGUAGUCCGGAUUGGAGUCUGCAACUCGACUCCAUGAAGUCGGAAUCGCUAGUAAUCGUAAAUCAGAAUGUUACGGUGAAUACGUUCCCGGGCCUUGUACACACCGCCCGUCACACCAUGGGAGUGGGUUGCAAAAGAAGUAGAUAGCUUAACCUUCGGGAGGGCGUUUACCACUUUGUGAUUCAUGACUGGGGUGAAGUCGUAACAAGGUAGGCGUAGUGCU
rnacentral:rRNA from 1 species